CGGGCUCCGAGCGGCGCUGCUGCCGUGGUUCCCCCGGCCCCUCUGCAGCGCGGAGCGGCGCCGGCCCCGGAGCGCUGGAGGACGCCUGGAAGAUGCGCGGGGCUGUGACCCUUGGCCAGCCCAGAGCGGGGAGCCACGUUCGCCGCCGCCCUGCCGCUGUUCCCCGACCAGCCUGCCACCUCCGGACACCCCGCCGAGCCACAGGUUAAAGGACCACUAUUCGUGUCCAGUGCCCUGGACCUGAGACGUGGCUUCUGCCUGCCCCAAUUGCAAAGGGAUCGGGAUUGCUCCCAGACCCAAUCUGCCACCACUUGGAACCCUGGCUGUUCUCUGAGUGCCAAACACACGCUUUAAACUGACAUUAGGAGCCCUCGUGCCUUUGGAGUGACCAAGGCCUCCUUCAAACUGAUGAUCUGGAAACUGGAAGGGUGACUUUUGUUUCACCUGUGAAAGGGCCAAUGUUUGUGUUUUGGGGUCCGUAGCUGGCGACGGCUUCUGCCUCCUAAAAUUCAGAAUGCGGCAGGAUAUCUCCCAGAUCCCUGGCGGCCUUUGGGGUAACAAACACUUCCUGCAAACUGCUAUCAGGAGACUAAGAGGGGUGAGGAUUAUACAAGGGAAAAGGGCCAAUGUUCUUGUCCAGGGCCCUGGGACUGGGAUUCUACCUGCUAAAAUGCCAAACGGCUCAGGAUUUCUGCCGGACACAAGCUGCCACGACUUAGAACCCUGGGUGCCCUUGGAGUGACAACUGCCUUCUCCAACCGGGUAUCAGGGUCCUGUUCCCCAGACGGGGCUUCCAUCUGCUACAACGCCAGACAGAUCAGGAUUUAUCCCAGACACAAGCUGCUAGCACUUGGAACCCCGGCUGCCUUUGCAGUGCAAAACAGCUCUUCCCUACUGAUGUCACAGAACUGGAAUUUCCUCACCUCAAAUUCAAGUCUGAGGAGCCAAACAGCCACAGUUAUUCUGAGGCCUUUUAUACCUUGGAUUUGCUCCUCCUUUUCCUGCAAAUGAGGGGUGGUCCCAAUCACGGGUCUAUUUUGCGAUGAUGGCAUCAGACGGAGUGCAGCUGGAAUGAGUGACCUGAGCCCCUGGGCAUUCCUGGGAGAUGGUGACUAAGGGACAACAGCUCAGUGGUGGCAGGAAUUUCCCCGAGGGUAAAGCUUUUUUACUGCACACCUGGCAUGGAUUCUCAUACCUGGAUCUCUGACAGAUAAGUGCUGGGCUCCAACCCACAGAGGGGAUGGGAGUGGGAUGCUGUGUCUGGAAUUGUCAGGAGGGAUUUUUGAGGCAGCUUUGGAGCUGGGGAUGUCCAAGAAGCAGCCCCUCAGGCCGCAUAAGGGGAAGAGUCUCAAUUUGAUCUCAAUGCUGAGUUGCACAGGGCAGAGCAGUUCCUCUGGGUGUCAUGUCACUUGUCUCUUGUGCAGUCUGUGUCUUCUGUGUGUGUUGUAUUGUAUGUCUCUUACCUUUAGCCCUUUGAGGGGCCUGUCAGAAACCCUGAGGUCAUCCAUAGCAUCUUGUGAUCUCUGCAUUCCUCAGCCUGGCUCUGGUGCCAUCAAACCUUGGUCUCAGGAGCUUGGACAGGCAUCUGACUCUCUUCUCUUUUGGAAAACAUCCAUUCUGAUCUCUUUCAAGGUCUUCUUCUGAGCUGUGUACCUGAAAGAUCUCUUACAUCAGUCUGGAACUUGGAAUAAUAGAAGAUAAGAAGAGAUUCUCAGGCAUCCAUCUCUGCAGCAUCUUCUUGAAGGAAAUCAUUCUGCUAGCAUCUUUUUUCCCACCUUGUUAGCUUGCUCUAAGACUUCCCUCAGUCCUUGUUGUCCUUCCUCUUGCUGAGAUAUUUUUUCCCUCUCUUGUCAUCCCCUCAUUUGUCACAUCUUGUGUCACGGGUGCCUGCAUGCAUUUGGGUCGGAGCUGCUCUGCCCUGCUGUGUAGUCUGGGCAUAGGUGUGCUAGGACCAGUCCUGGGGACUUGCUUUUUGUAAUGUGGGGUGGUUUUGGACCCUAGAUGAAAUCUGGAGGUAUAAAGUUAUUCUGCAGCACAUUUGACUUCUGUCCUAUCUUCCUUUCAGAUGCAGAUGGAUCAAAUCGGAGGCUGUGGGCCCAUCCUAGGAAAUGAAGCAGGAUAUCAGCAAGCCAGUACCCUUGAAUUGCCCUGAGAUGGCUCUGCCCAGCUGGCCAAGAGACCCAGUUCACUGCUCCUGUGAGCCCUCCAGCAGUAUUCCAGGACUCUGAUGAAGCCUUCACCUUCUCCUAUUUGAAGAUGCCAGCUGGGCAGCCUUUGGUGAGAGCCAAGGAGUUGGGGCAUGCCCUGCUACAACAGUGUCAGCUUCUGAGUGUGGCCAAAGCCUGUGACCUGAGCUCCUGGGCAUUCCUGGGAGAUGGUGACUAAGGGACAACAGCCCAGCGAUGGCAGGAAUUUCCCAGAUGUUGAAGCUUUUUUACUGCACACCUGGCAUGGAUUCUCAUACCUGGAUCUCUGACAG